UACGUAGGGUGCAAGCGUUAAUCGGAAUUACUGGGCGUAAAGCGAGCGCAGGCGGUUAUUUAAGUCAGGUGUGAAAGCCCCGAGCUCAACUUGGGACGUGCAUUUGAAACUGGGUAACUAGAGUGUGUCAGAGGGGGGUAGAAUUCCACGUGUAGCAGUGAAAUGCGUAGAGAUGUGGAGGGAUACCGAUGGCGAAGACAGCCCCCUGGGAUAACACUGACGCUCAUGCUCGAAAGCGUGGGUAGCAAACAGG
rnacentral:rRNA from 1 species